CCAUGGAACCAUGGAAUCCUGGAAUCAUGGAAUCAUGGAACCAUGGAUUCCUGGAAUCCUGAAAUUCUAGAAUCAUAGAAUUGUGGAAUCACAGGAUCCUGGAAUCAGGGAAUCCUGGAAUCAUGGAAUCAGGGAACCAUGGAAUCCUGGCAUCCUGAAAUUCUGGAAUCCUGAAAUUCUGGAAUCAUAGAAUUGUGGAAUCACAGGAUCUUGGAAUCAUGGAAUCCUGGAACCAUGGAAUCGGGGAACCGUUCAGGCUGGCAAAGACCUCUGAGGUCACCAAUUCCACCUGUCCUUCUGUCACAAAGGCACCUGCCUUGUCCCUAAUUCGUCCUGCUGUGUCCAUGGACAGGGUGGAGCCUCCUUCUUCCAGGACCUUCCUCAGGCCUGAGAACAUUCAGCAGCUCCUUGGGGUUCACAUUUAAUUUUAGACAGAGAUAUUCAAAGUUUGCUCCUCUGCUUUUGGCAAAAAAAAGGUCUUGGACCUUUUUUGGGGUCAAACAAGCUGAAAAGGUUGGCAAGGAAGGAGAGCAAACACCACAGCAGAGUCCAGCACCCCAAGAAGGGCCCAGCUGAUUUGCUACAUGUGAGAAUCCCAGCCCUAAAGAGGCAGAGGAAUCCUGUCCUCAGAAUCCUCUCUGAUAAGGGAUAACUGGGAUGAAACAGCACGGGGAGUUCCCAGAAUCCAGCACUGACCCUGGCAAGCCCAAAGCUCUGCUCCACCUCUGGUCCGUGAGACAUGCCCCAGCACAGAACCCUUGGAAGUGCUUCCCAACUGCCUUGGUUUGAACAGACAGGUGUCUGCUGAGGAAGGCAGGAGCCUCCCCUGAAAUGGAAAAUGUAAACCCCCUCACUACGAAGUCACACCUGGAGAGAGGCAGGAUGGGCACAGAGCUCCCCCAUGGAUGAGGAAGCAACAAAAGUUUUGACCUGGGACCACCAGCCCUUCCUGGUCACGCCAAAUCCCAACAAUCCCAAGGCACCCAGGACAUCCAGGUGUGAACCAGGGCUGGCAGAAAAUGCUUUCCUGAUCUCCCAAAAUUCCACAACAACAGGAGCUACCCCUAUGUACCUUCACCAGCAACCCUGAGUCUCCCAGGACAUCCAGCAGCUCCACUGAGGACCAGGAUGGCUUCAAAGAGGGCAGGAACCACCCCUGGGCACCCUCCCAGCUCCAGGGCUGGAUCACAAUCCUGUUUCCAUCAAUCUCUUGGCAUCACUGCAUCUUCAAAUCUCUGAAGCAGAAGGGGCUGGGGCAGCAGCAGAGUUUGUCCUUUUCCCUAUCUAACGCUUUUCUCCAAGUUCUUCCAUCUUCCAGUGUUUUCUCAAUUCCUUUUAUCUGAAUUAAAAUCAGGGGGGAGGAAAAGACCUCACAAGCCUCAAUCCAUGGCUAUAACAUAUUUGUCCCAAAGUGAUCAAACUCCUGCUAAAAAUUGCAUAAAAAUAUCCCUGGCAAACCCUCCAAAGUGAAGUGCCCCCCAAAGGAACGAUUCCAACACACUCUUCCCUCACAGUGGUGAAAUCCUGGUUGUGCUUCACCCUCUGGGAGAUUCCCUUCUCACUCCACAUUAAUCUUUUACAGGAAUUUUUGUAGGAAUAAUCUCACUUAAUUCCAGUGUUAGUCUGGGACAGGGAAAAAAUAUUUCCCUCCCCAACCCCUCUCCUUUAACACGGAGCAUUUUUCCUUGGAAUAACCAACCUAUUUUGGGGAAGGGAGAGACAGAGCAUAUUUGGGCUGGAAUUUUAUCUUCAACUCCCUAUUUAAAUUGGCCAAAAAAAUGCCUCGAAGUCCGAACAAGCUUUAAAAAA